CCUACGGGUGGCAGCAGUGGGGAAUAUUGGGCAAUGGAGGCAACUCUGACCCAGCAACGCCGCGUGAAUGAUGAAGGUCUUCGGAUUGUAAAGUUCUGUGAUGGGGGAUGAACACAAUGACGGUACCCCAAUAGCAAGCCACGGCUAACUACGUGCCAGCAGCCGCGGUAAUACGUAGGUGGCAAGCGUUAUCCGGAAUGACUGGGCGUAAAGGGUGCGUAGGUGGUUUAGUAAGUUGGCGAUGAAAUCCCGUGGCUCAACCACGGAACUGCAUUUGAAACUGUCGGUCUUGAGUAUCGGAGAGGCAGGCGGAAUUCCUAGUGUAGCGGUGAAAUGCGUAGAUAUUAGGAGGAACACCAGUGGCGAAGGCGGCCUGCUGGACGACAACUGACGGUGAGGCGCGAAAGCGUGGGGAGCAAACAGGAUUAGAUACCCGGGUAGUC
rnacentral:rRNA from 1 species